GAUUCUAUACAAUAGGCCUUUAUGACAUUUGUCUCUUUCUGGUACAGAAUGUGACACAUGUAGGAAUAUAGUUAGGGAUAAGUCUGGUUUCUAGGGUUAGUUGCAAGAAGGGAGUUUUGAGAUAAGCCCUGGGAAAUGAUUCAGGGUAAGAAAGGAAUUGUGGGAGUCUAAAACUGAAAAUAACUGAACUAAACUUCCAUCUUGGAUUUCAUCUCUCUGCCUACAUUUCCAUCAAGCUGAAGAUGGGGGUUUGCUCUAAAACAUUCUUCCUGGAUAGCCAAGAUUUUGUGGAGAAAUCUUUGACAUCUAGGUAGAGGAUUAUUUGGAGGAAACCAAUUUUCCCUGAGUCUAAAUAUCAUCUUCUAGUGGUUCAGCUGCCAGAAUUCCUCUUGGCUAAGCUCUUAUAAUACAGAUUGUAAUCCAUCCAAGUCUUCUCAUCCUAUGCAACUAUUAUCCGGGAACUCUCCUAACUUCACCAUAAGAAGACUACUCAUUCUCUUGACAUUCUGAAGAUACAGGGAAACACCGCUUUUCAAGAACCACAACAAAAACAACAACAGCCAGAAAAAAGGGAAAAAAAACCCCACUUUCAGAGAGUGCUAAAAUAUCAUUUCGGUCUUCGCAUGGAAGCAUGGCAAAAGGCAUAUUAAUGAAGUCAGGCAGACAGCUUAUACCAUUUGAUUUGUCCAUUUAGACCAAAAGGAUUUAGCACCUAGAUCUAAUGCUAGUAAAAUGGGUACGGGGGAAACCAAGGUAAACAUUUUGUGACCUGUGAAGCUUGAAAACGGAUGUAGUUGGUGCCAUUCAUUCAAUUCAGCAAGCAAGUACCAACUACCUACUAUGUGUCAGGUCAUGCACCGGUGCUAAAACAAAGAUGCAAUAUCUUGAGGAGAUUACAUUUACUUUAUUGCCUUAUAAAUACUUGGAAGGAAG
rnacentral:lncRNA from 1 species